ACGCUGGCGGCAGGCCUAACACAUGCAAGUCGAGCGGUAGAGAGAAGCUUGCUUCUCUUGAGAGCGGCGGACGGGUGAGUAAUGCCUAGGAAUCUGCCUGGUAGUGGGGGAUAACGUCCGGAAACGGACGCUAAUACCGCAUACGUCCUACGGGAGAAAGCAGGGGACCUUCGGGCCUUGCGCUAUCAGAUGAGCCUAGGUCGGAUUAGCUAGUUGGUGGGGUAAUGGCUCACCAAGGCGACGAUCCGUAACUGGUCUGAGAGGAUGAUCAGUCACACUGGAACUGAGACACGGUCCAGACUCCUACGGGAGGCAGCAGUGGGGAAUAUUGGACAAUGGGCGAAAGCCUGAUCCAGCCAUGCCGCGUGUGUGAAGAAGGUCUUCGGAUUGUAAAGCACUUUAAGUUGGGAGGAAGGGUUGUAGAUUAAUACUCUGCAAUUUUGACGUUACCGACAGAAUAAGCACCGGCUAACUCUGUGCCAGCAGCCGCGGUAAUACAGAGGGUGCAAGCGUUAAUCGGAAUUACUGGGCGUAAAGCGCGCGUAGGUGGUUAGUUAAGUUGGAUGUGAAAUCCCCGGGCUCAACCUGGGAACUGCAUUCAAAACUGACUGACUAGAGUAUGGUAGAGGGUGGUGGAAUUUCCUGUGUAGCGGUGAAAUGCGUAGAUAUAGGAAGGAACACCAGUGGCGAAGGCGACCACCUGGACUGAUACUGACACUGAGGUGCGAAAGCGUGGGGAGCAAAC
rnacentral:rRNA from 1 species